UACGUAGGUGGCAAGCGUUGUCCGGAUUUACUGGGCGUAAAGCGCGUGUAGGCGGCUCGGCAAGUCGGGUGUGAAAGCCCCGGGCCUCAACCUGGGAAUUGCAUUCGAGACUGAAUAGCUAGGGUACGGUAGAGGGAAGUGGAAUUUCCGGUGUAGCGGUGAAAUGCGUAGAUAUCGGAAGGAACAUCAGUGGCGAAAGCGACUUCCUGGACCAGUACCGACGUCAGGCACGAAAGCGUGGGGAGCAAACAGG
rnacentral:rRNA from 1 species